UUAACGUGUUUGCGUGAUGACUCAGACGGCAGCGUGAUCCGCGUUUGUGAUCCCCUGGCGGGCACAGACGGGCCCGCCAAGGCAACAGAGGUCGGGUCGGCACGGGGUGGGAGACGUGCCCGGGGGCACCUUCUCGGUAAUGAUCCUUCCGCAGGUUCACCUACGGAAA
rnacentral:misc_RNA from 1 species